GAGGAAUAAGCAUCGGCUAACUCCGUGCCAGCAGCCGCGGUAAUACGGGGGAUGCAAGCGUUAUCCGGAAUCAUUGGGCGUAAAGCGCCUGUAGGUUGUUUAAUAAGUCUGUUGUUAAAGACUAGGGCUUAACCCUAGAAAAGCAAUGGAAACUACUAGACUAGAGUAUGGCAGGGGUAGAGGGAAUUUCUAGUGUAGCGGUGAAAUGCGUAGAUAUUGGAAAGAACACCGGUGGCGAAAGCGCUCUACUGGACCAUUACUGACACUCAGAGGCGAAAGCUAGGGUAGCAAAAGGGAUUAGAUACCCCUGUAGUCCUAGCCGUAAACGAUGGAUACUACAUGUUGUGUUUAUUUCACAGUAUGGUAGCUAACGCGUUAAGUAUCCCGCCUGGGGAGUACGCUCGCAAGGGUGAAACUCAAAGGAAUUGACGGGGGCCCGCACAAGCGGUGGAGCAUGUGGUUUAAUUCGAUGCAACGCGAAGAACCUUACCAGGGCUUGACAUACUGCGAAUCUUUCCGAAAGGAAAGAGUGCCUUCGGGAAUGCAGAUACAGGUGGUGCAUGGCUGUCGUCAGCUCGUGUCGUGAGAUGUUGGGUUAAGUCCCGCAACGAGCGCAACCCUUGUUUUUAGUUACCAAUUCGUUGGGUUUUCUAGAAAGACUGCCGGUGACAAACCGGAGGAAGGUGAGGAUGACGUCAAGUCAGCAUGCCCCUUAUGUCCUGGGCUACACACGUGCUACAAUGGUUAGGACAAAGAGUUGCGAGCUUGUGAAAGUCAGCUAAUCUCAUAAACCUAGCCCAAGUUCAGAUUGUAGGCUGCAACUCGCCUACAUGAAG
rnacentral:rRNA from 1 species